CAUGGCGGAGCGUGAGACGAGACGAUCUGCCCCUCCACAUCUCUCACUCUCUGCUUCCUUCGUCCUUCGCGAUUUCUCCGCGGAAUUCGGUGGACUUUCGCUCCGAUCCCCCGAGCUCCUUUGCUCGUCCGGGCCCCAAUGCGUGUCCCUUGACGGCGUCCUGCUUCGAUUCUGGGGAAAGCCGUCGCGAUCCCCCGCUAGGGUUUCUCUGUGUUGCAAUCUGUGUUUCACGGACAUAAUGUAACUGGAGAGAGAACAUUGGUUAAAUAAACUUCAACAGAGAUAGCUGACCUUCAAGUGGAACUUAUAAAUUCUCUGAACUGCACUUGGAUGCUUCGAAAGCCGGUCAUAGGCAAGUUCCAUGUCUCCUAGCCUUCGAGUUUUGUAAUGCUGCUGUGAUUUAGAUGCUGGGACCUAGAAAUUGCCCCUAUGUAUGUUAAAAAAUAUAUGUUAGGUUGAUUAGUUUUCGACAACCAAAACAUCUAUUGAUCUGGAGCCUGCAGUUAUCUUGUCAGUAUAUCUCUAUCAUCGAGAUGACUAAGGAAAAAACUAUUUGGUUACUGUGAAGCCAGUGUUGUUCAGCACAAAAAUAUUGGAAGGGGACUAUUUUCAUGUAAAGCUUCACUAGUUAUCCGCACAGACACCUCUAAAUCAUGCUACAGUAUAGCUCGACUAGGCAAACAAAGAUACUUUAUUUCAAUCCA